rnacentral:rRNA from 1 species
AUGAGCCCCCUCCACAAGAAGAUCCUGAAGACGGUGGACGAGCUGAAAGGCGACCUCUCCGAGCUUUUCAGCCAAUCUCCGGAGGCCAGGCCAAGGACACGAAGGGCGCGCCGUUCAUCGUCUGCUCCAGCUGCUUCACGCUCGUUCAAUUGUCCGCCACGGCUUCGCCGUCACGAGCGCCAAGGUGCGCGACCUGCUCGGCCAUGCUCUUCUACUCCUACCACGACCCGGACAGGAAGAAACCCGUCGACCAGUGCAGCACGGCCGGCCCCUCACCCGCGCGCCACGUCGGCGCGUGGCCGGACCUGUUCUCGUUCAUCGAGGAUUUUGCGGCCCAGUACGGGGCGAGCAGCUACUCCACCACGGAGGACGAGCUGCAUGUGUCGAGGAACUCGUCCUUCAACACCGUCGUCGCGACAGGGGAGGAGACGACGACGCGGCCCAUCCGUGGAGUACAGCUCGGCGAGCGAGCUGCUGCUGCGGCGGCGCUCCCCUAGCCUCUACGAGUACGGGAGCUCCGACAAGAGGUCGACGUCGCCAUCCGACGCGAGCAGGCGGCAUGAGGACAGGAAGGGGAAAGGCUACUUCAAGGUUGCAGUGGCAAUAUUCAGUGAUUGUUACUUCCUCUCCAGAGAAUUUGCCAAGGUGGAGUAUGUUCAUGAAUACAGAGAAGCAAAUACUGUAGCUCACGAGUUGGUGUUCUUGGAAAAAAUCCAUGACCUUCCUCUAUUGUACUUCUGUUUAUCAAUGAUGUAA